CACUACGAAGCUUAAAGCGUUAGCCUUUUAAGCUAAAGUUAGAAAAAUAAAAUUUUCCGUAGUGA
rnacentral:tRNA from 1 species